rnacentral:rRNA from 1 species
UACGUAGGGAGCGAGCGUUGUCCGGAAUUACUGGGUGUAAAGGGAGCGUAGGCGGGAUUGCAAGUCAGAUGUGAAAGGCGGAGGCUCAACCUCCGAGCUGCAUUUGAAACUGUAGUUCUUGAGUGAAGUAGAGGUAAGCGGAAUUCCUGGUGUAGCGGUGAAAUGCGUAGAUAUCAGGAGGAACACCGGUGGCGAAGGCGGCUUACUGGACUGUAACUGACGCUGAGGCUCGAAAGCUAGGGUAGCAAACGGG